AACAGGAUUAGAUACCCUGGUAGUCCACGCUGUAAACGAUGUCGACUUGGAGGUUGUGCCCUUGAGGCGUGGCUUCCGGAGCUAACGCGUUAAGUCGACCGCCUGGGGAGUACGGCCGCAAGGUUAAAACUCAAAUGAAUUGACGGGGGCCCGCACAAGCGGUGGAGCAUGUGGUUUAAUUCGAUGCAACGCGAAGAACCUUACCUACUCUUGACAUCCAGAGAAUUUAGCAGAGAUGCUUUAGUGCCUUCGGGAACUCUGAGACAGGUGCUGCAUGGCUGUCGUCAGCUCGUGUUGUGAAAUGUUGGGUUAAGUCCCGCAACGAGCGCAACCCUUAUCCUUUGUUGCCAGCACGUAAUGGUGGGAACUCAAAGGAGACUGCCGGUGAUAAACCGGAGGAAGGUGGGGAUGACGUCAAGUCAUCAUGGCCCUUACGAGUAGGGCUACACACGUGCUACAAUGGCAUAUACAAAGAGAAGCGAACUCGCGAGAGCAAGCGGACCUCAUAAAGUAUGUCGUAGUCCGGAUUGGAGUCUGCAACUCGACUCCAUGAAGUCGGAAUCGCUAGUAAUCGUAGAUCAGAAUGCUACGGUGAAUACGUUCCCGGGCCUUGUACACACCGCCCGUCACACCAUGGGAGUGGGUUGCAAAAGAAGUAGGUAGCUUAACCUUCGGGAGGGCGCUUACCACUUUGUGAUUCAUGACUGGGGUGAAGUCGUAACAAGGUAACC
rnacentral:rRNA from 1 species